CGAUGUCCAUAGCUUCGCACUUCCAUACUUGGCCGAAGCAGCCCUCCCCCAGAAUAUUGAAGACCUAAAGACAGACCCGUGAAAAAUAUUGGUUUCGGCUUCUUUUCAACACCAGAGACGGAUCGUCGGACAAGUUCGAAACGCUUACGGAAACCUGCUCCUUCUGCCGUCAAAAGUAAAAAGUCGGAAUUAAUAUGCGCCGAUGCAACGACCUUCGGAUUUUACUGCAGUCAAUUGGAGAAUUUAUUUCGGAGAGACCACACACCCAUGGCCGAGCCUAGGACCAGAGCACACACGGCAGCUACAGGAACCAAUAUCAUGGCGACAUCCUGAGACGGAGGUGCCGUAGGAGCCACUUUGGAACUGAGUGGAGGUUGAAGCUUCGUGGUCUUCUGUCUCGAGUCAGAAGGGGAAGACGGAGGCGGUUCCGGAGCAGGUGGACGUGGAUAACUCUGCAGAUUCGGGAGACCCAGAAGAGGUGGACGAAUGCGACCUCCGGACCCAUGCUGGUUCGGAAACGGCGACCUGGGGAAAAACAUAUCUAUAUUGACCACGUAGGGUACUCUCUAUGCGACAUGGGGAACCAUCUUUCGCGUCAAACUGGUCUAUAUACAAAAAUGAUUCGAUGUUCACUCCCUGACGAUCCCGAGAAGGACUCAAUUAUAAAGGCACAAUCUACUCAACCAAGGAUGAAACAUUGGUUCCUAUGCAAAAUGACGUUACGAGAGUACACCGAGCGCACCCAGGAUC